CGUAGGGUGCGAGCGUUAAUCGGAAUUACUGGGCGUAAAGUGUGCGCAGGCGGCCGCGCAAGUCGAGUGUGAAAUCCCCGAGCUUAACUUGGGAAUUGCGCUCGAAACUACGUGGCUGGAGUGUGGCAGAGGAAGGUGGAAUUCCACGUGUAGCGGUGAAAUGCGUAGAUAUGUGGAGGAACACCGAUGGCGAAGGCAGCCUUCUGGGCCAACACUGACGCUCAUGCACGAAAGCGUGGGGAGCAAACAGGAUUAGAUACCCUGGUAGUCCACGCCCUAAACGAUGAUGACUAGUUGUUGGAGGAGUUAAAUCCUUUAGUAACGCAGCUAACGCGUGAAGUCAUCCGCCUGGGGAGUACGGUCGCAAGAUUA
rnacentral:rRNA from 1 species